AUUGAACGCUGGCGGCAGGCCUAACACAUGCAAGUCGAGCGGAUGAAGGGAGCUUGCUCCUGGAUUCAGCGGCGGACGGGUGAGUAAUGCCUAGGAAUCUGCCUGGUCGUGGGGGAUAACGUCCGGAAACGGGCGCUAAUACCGCAUACGUCCUGAGGGAGAAAGUGGGGGAUCUUCGGACCUCACGCUAUCAGAUGAGCCUAGGUCGGAUUAGCUAGUUGGUGGGGUAAAGGCCUACCAAGGCGACGAUCCGUAACUGGUCUGAGAGGAUGAUCAGUCACACUGGAACUGAGACACGGUCCGGACUCCUACGGGAGGCAGCAGUGGGGAAUAUUGGACAAUGGGCGAAAGCCUGAUCCAGCCAUGCCGCGUGUGUGAAGAAGGUCUUCGGAUUGUAAAGCACUUUAAGUUGGGAGGAAGGGCAGUAAGUUAAUACCUUGCUGUUUUGACGUUACCAACAGAAUAAGCACCGGCUAACUUCGUG
rnacentral:rRNA from 1 species